rnacentral:rRNA from 1 species
CCUACGGGAGGCAGCAGUGGGGAAUCUUAGACAAUGGGGGAAACCCUGAUCUAGCCAUGCCGCGUGAGUGAUGAAGGCCUUAGGGUCGUAAAGCUCUUUCAGCUGUGAAGAUAAUGACGGUAGCAGCAGAAGAAACCCCGGCUAACUCCGUGCCAGCAGCCGCGGUAAUACGGAGGGGGUUAGCGUUGUUCGGAAUUACUGGGCGUAAAGCGCGCGUAGGCGGACUAUUAAGCCAGGGGUGAAAUCCCGGGGCUCAACCCCGGAACUGCCUUUGAUACUGGUAGUCUAGAGUUCGAGAGAGGUGAGUGGAAUUCCGAGUGUAGAGGUGAAAUUCGUAGAUAUUCGGAGGAACACCAGUGGCGAAGGCGGCUCACUGGCUCGAUACUGACGCUGAGGUGCGAAAGUGUGGGGAGCAAACAGGAUUAGAUACCCUGGUAGUCCACACCGUAAACGAUGAAUGCCAGACGUCGGCAAGUAUACUUGUCGGUGUCACACCUAACGGAUUAAGCAUUCCGCCUGGGGAGUACGGUCGCAAGAUUAAAACUCAAAGGAAUUGACGG